AGAGGCGAGCAACGAGCGGGCGGCGACGGGGGACGACGGGGCGGAGAGAGGAGGAGGAGGCGACGGCGCAGAGGAUUCUCCGGCGCCGCCCGCCCUCCCGCACGCUCGCAGCUCGCAGCUCGUGGCGCCGUCCUCCCCCCGUCGCUGCCCGCCGCCCGCCGCUAUACCAUCCCAUUCUUGCCGCCCGGGAAGACACUCAGCCCAAUCCCAUGCGCCUGUACAGUUGUGCGGGAGGAGCAAGGGCCAAGAGCACGGCACCUGCCCCUCGGCAUCGGACACGCUGGCCUCCUCACUGCUCUCUCCUUCUUGUGCUUGUGCAGGCAGGAGGCGGAGGCUAUGUCCAAUUACUCCCUUUUGUGUGAAUACUAUUGGGCUAGGCCCCCAGAAGCUGGGUCUAUUUUUAAGAGGAUUGUAUGGUGCAGCAGCCAUGGAGGAUGGAGGCAGCAGAGACUCUGA
rnacentral:lncRNA from 1 species